rnacentral:rRNA from 1 species
GGGUUGUGAGGUUAAGCGACUAAGCGUACACGGUGGAUGCCCUGGCAGUCAGAGGCGAUGAAGGACGUGCUAAUCUGCGAUAAGCGUCGGUAAGGUGAUAUGAACCGUUAUAACCGGCGAUUUCCGAAUGGGGAAACCCAGUGUGUUUCGACACACUAUCAUUAACUGAAUCCAUAGGUUAAUGAGGCGAACCGGGGGAACUGAAACAUCUAAGUACCCCGAGGAAAAGAAAUCAACCGAGAUUCCCCCAGUAGCGGCGAGCGAACGGGGAGCAGCCCAGAGCCUGAAUCAGUGUGUGUGUUAGUGGAAGCGUCUGGAAAGGCGCGCGAUACAGGGUGACAGCCCCGUACACAAAAAUGCACAUGCUGUGAGCUCGAUGAGUAGGGCGGGACACGUGGUAUCCUGUCUGAAUAUGGGGGGACCAUCCUCCAAGGCUAAAUACUCCUGACUGACCGAUAGUGAACCAGUACCGUGAGGGAAAGGCGAAAAGAACCCCGGCGAGGGGAGUGAAAAAGAACCUGAAACCGUGUACGUACAAGCAGUGGGAGCACGCUUAGGCGUGUGACUGCGUACCUUUUGUAUAAUGGGUCAGCGACUUAUAUUCUGUAGCAAGGUUAACCGAAUAGGGGAGCCGAAGGGAAACCGAGUCUUAACUGGGCGUUAAGUUGCAGGGUAUAGACCCGAAACCCGGUGAUCUAGCCAUGGGCAGGUUGAAGGUUGGGUAACACUAACUGGAGGACCGAACCGACUAAUGUUGAAAAAUUAGCGGAUGACUUGUGGCUGGGGGUGAAAGGCCAAUCAAACCGGGAGAUAGCUGGUUCUCCCCGAAAGCUAUUUAGGUAGCGCCUCGUGAAUUCAUCUCCGGGGGUAGAGCACUGUUUCGGCAAGGGGGUCAUCCCGACUUACCAACCCGAUGCAAACUGCGAAUACCGGAGAAUGUUAUCACGGGAGACACACGGCGGGUGCUAACGUCCGUCGUGAAGAGGGAAACAACCCAGACCGCCAGCUAAGGUCCCAAAGUCAUGGUUAAGUGGGAAACGAUGUGGGAAGGCCCAGACAGCCAGGAUGUUGGCUUAGAAGCAGCCAUCAUUUAAAGAAAGCGUAAUAGCUCACUGGUCGAGUCGGCCUGCGCGGAAGAUGUAACGGGGCUAAACCAUGCACCGAAGCUGCGGCAGCGACGCUUAUGCGUUGUUGGGUAGGGGAGCGUUCUGUAAGCCUGCGAAGGUGUGCUGUGAGGCAUGCUGGAGGUAUCAGAAGUGCGAAUGCUGACAUAAGUAACGAUAAAGCGGGUGAAAAGCCCGCUCGCCGGAAGACCAAGGGUUCCUGUCCAACGUUAAUCGGGGCAGGGUGAGUCGACCCCUAAGGCGAGGCCGAAAGGCGUAGUCGAUGGGAAACAGGUUAAUAUUCCUGUACUUGGUGUUACUGCGAAGGGGGGACGGAGAAGGCUAUGUUGGCCGGGCGACGGUUGUCCCGGUUUAAGCGUGUAGGCUGGUUUUCCAGGCAAAUCCGGAAAAUCAAGGCUGAGGCGUGAUGACGAGGCACUACGGUGCUGAAGCAACAAAUGCCCUGCUUCCAGGAAAAGCCUCUAAGCAUCAGGUAACAUCAAAUCGUACCCCAAACCGACACAGGUGGUCAGGUAGAGAAUACCAAGGCGCUUGAGAGAACUCGGGUGAAGGAACUAGGCAAAAUGGUGCCGUAACUUCGGGAGAAGGCACGCUGAUAUGUAGGUGAAGCGACUUGCUCGUGGAGCUGAAAUCAGUCGAAGAUACCAGCUGGCUGCAACUGUUUAUUAAAAACACAGCACUGUGCAAACACGAAAGUGGACGUAUACGGUGUGACGCCUGCCCGGUGCCGGAAGGUUAAUUGAUGGGGUUAGCCGCAAGGCGAAGCUCUUGAUCGAAGCCCCGGUAAACGGCGGCCGUAACUAUAACGGUCCUAAGGUAGCGAAAUUCCUUGUCGGGUAAGUUCCGACCUGCACGAAUGGCGUAAUGAUGGCCAGGCUGUCUCCACCCGAGACUCAGUGAAAUUGAACUCGCUGUGAAGAUGCAGUGUACCCGCGGCAAGACGGAAAGACCCCGUGAACCUUUACUAUAGCUUGACACUGAACAUUGAGCCUUGAUGUGUAGGAUAGGUGGGAGGCUUUGAAGUGUGGACGCCAGUCUGCAUGGAGCCGACCUUGAAAUACCACCCUUUAAUGUUUGAUGUUCUAACGUUGACCCGUAAUCCGGGUUGCGGACAGUGUCUGGUGGGUAGUUUGACUGGGGCGGUCUCCUCCUAAAGAGUAACGGAGGAGCACGAAGGUUGGCUAAUCCUGGUCGGACAUCAGGAGGUUAGUGCAAUGGCAUAAGCCAGCUUGACUGCGAGCGUGACGGCGCGAGCAGGUGCGAAAGCAGGUCAUAGUGAUCCGGUGGUUCUGAAUGGAAGGGCCAUCGCUCAACGGAUAAAAGGUACUCCGGGGAUAACAGGCUGAUACCGCCCAAGAGUUCAUAUCGACGGCGGUGUUUGGCACCUCGAUGUCGGCUCAUCACAUCCUGGGGCUGAAGUAGGUCCCAAGGGUAUGGCUGUUCGCCAUUUAAAGUGGUACGCGAGCUGGGUUUAGAACGUCGUGAGACAGUUCGGUCCCUAUCUGCCGUGGGCGCUGGAGAACUGAGGGGGGCUGCUCCUAGUACGAGAGGACCGGAGUGGACGCAUCACUGGUGUUCGGGUUGUCAUGCCAAUGGCACUGCCCGGUAGCUAAAUGCGGAAGAGAUAAGUGCUGAAAGCAUCUAAGCACGAAACUUGCCCCGAGAUGAGUUCUCCCUGACUCCUUGAGAGUCCUGAAGGAACGUUGAAGACGACGACGUUGAUAGGCCGGGUGUGUAAGCGCAGCGAUGCGUUGAGCUAACCGGUACUAAUGAACCGUGAGGCUUAACCUUACAACGCCGAAGCUGUU